CUAGUCGAGCGAACUCGAGCCCUAAACGAGCCGCUUGAAAUUCUCAACAUCGUACCAUCAAUAAUCUUGUAUAGAACAUUCUCUAUAAUUUAAUACAAAAACAUGCAUGAUAGUUCAAAAUGCAAAAUAAUUAUAUGAAAUACAAUAUUAUAAUAUAAAAAAAAUAAUUUAUGAGUUGAAUAUAUAAUCUUUUCAGCCUCGUAUGUUUUCUCUUCCGCCUUCAAUCUCUAUAUUAUUCCUUUUCAUCUAUGCGGUCAAAAAAUAAAUAAAUUAUAUAAAUAAAUAUAUUGAAUUAAACUAUCCAAUCAUAUAUAACUAAAAUCAAAAUUUUGUAACAAUAAUUUUUUACGUUAAAAAUAUUCUGUACAUUUUCUUAAGCACAUAACUAAUGGUAAGGUAGGCAACGGCGGACGCAUGCUGUUAUUUAGUAGCUUGGAGGGCUUUAGACUUGGCCACUUGGAAUAAUAGACAAAGAAAAAAAAGAGAGAAAAAGAUUAGAGAUUUAGAGCUCUGUGAAAGAAAGAAAGGGAGAGAUUGUAAAUUUAGUAAAAUUUUGCCUUUUUGUUAGUCUAUUGGGUUUGUUUUUAUAGAUAAACAAUAUUAGCCCAAUUUUAACUAAACUUAAGUUACUCACUCAGCAUACAUAUAUAUAUAUAUAUAUAUAUAUAUAUA
rnacentral:lncRNA from 1 species